rnacentral:rRNA from 1 species
AGAGUUUGAUCCUGGCUCAGGAUGAACGCUAGCGGCAGGCUUAACACAUGCAAGUCGAGGGGCAGCGCGGAGUAGCAAUACUCUGGCGGCGACCGGCGAAAGGGUGAGUAACGCGUGAGCAACAUGCCCGGGACUGGGGGAUAGUCGAUGGAAACGUCGCGUAAUACCCCGUAACAUACGGAACCGCAUGAUUCUGUAUUGAGAGAUUUAUUGAUUCCGGAUUGGCUCGCGUACCAUUAGGUAGUUGGUAGGGUAACGGCCUACCAAGCCGACGAUGGUUAGGGGUUCUGAGAGGAAGGUCCCCACAUUGGAACUGAGACACGGUCCAGACUCCUACGGGAGGCAGCAGUGAGGGAAUAUUGGUCAAUGGCCGAGAGGCUGAACCAGCCAUGCCGCGUGCGGGAGGACGGCCCUAUGGGUUGUAAACCGCUUUGUCAGGGGCAAUAAGGGCCACGAGUGGCCUGAUGAGAGUACCUGGCGAAUAAGCAUCGGCUAACUCCGUGCC